rnacentral:rRNA from 10 species
CUUUAUGGCCAUACCACCCUGAAUGCUCCUGAUCUCAUCUGAUCUCAGAAGCUCAGCUGGGUCGGGCCUGGUUACUGCUUGGAUGCAUAUGAGCC